rnacentral:rRNA from 1 species
ACCGGCAGCUCAAGUGGUGGCCAUUUUUAUUGGGCCUAAAGCGUUCGUAGCCGGUUUGAUAAGUCUCUGGUGAAAUCCCGCAGCUUAACUGUGGGACUUGCUGGAGAUACUAUUAGACUUGAGGUCGGGAGAGGUUAGGGGUACUCCCAGGGUAGGGGUGAAAUGCUCUAAUCCGGGGAGGACAACCUGUGGCGACGGCGGGUAACUGGAACGAAACUGACGUUGAGUAAUGUAAGCGAGGGGUGCGCACCG